rnacentral:rRNA from 1 species
AGUGAACGCUGGCGGUAGGCCUAACACAUGCAAGUCGAACGGCAGCACAGGAGAGCUUGCUCUCUGGGUGGCGAGUGGCGGACGGGUGAGGAAUACAUCGGAAUCUGCCCAGUCGUGGGGGAUAACGUAGGGAAACUUACGCUAAUACCGCAUACGACCUUCGGGUGAAAGAGGGGGAUCGCAAGACCUCUCGCGAUUGGAUGAGCCGAUGUCGGAUUAGCUAGUUGGCGGGGUAAUGGCCCACCAAGGCGACGAUCCGUAGCUGGUCUGAGAGGAUGAUCAGCCACACUGGAACUGAGACACGGUCCAGACUCCUACGGGAGGCAGCAGUGGGGAAUAUUGGACAAAGGGCGCAAGCCUGAUCCAGCCAUACCGCGUGGGUGAAGAAGGCCUUCGGGUUGUAAAGCCCUUUUGUUGGGAAAGAAAUCUUUCAGGCUAAUACCCUGGGAGGAUGACGGUACCCAAAGAAUAAGCACCGGCUAGCUUCGUG